UUUUCCAAAUAAUUAAUGUAGGGUCUCUCACCCUCAGCACUGCUGAUAUUUGUGGCUGGGUCCAUCUCUGUGGUGGGGCCCUGAGCACCACAGGGUGUGGAGCAGCAUUUCCAGCCUCAACCCUCUUCAUGUUGAUAGCAUCCUCCCUGUCCCGACAACCAAAUAUGUCUCAGGGCCAGGCGCAGUGGAUCACACCUGUAACCCCAACACUUUGGGAGACUGAGGCGGGCAGAUCACUUGAAGCUAGGAGUUAGAGACCAGCCUGGCCAACAUGGCAAAAUCCUGUCUGCACUAAAAAUACAAAAAAAAAAAAAAAAAAAAAUUAGCCAGGCAUGGUGGUGUGCACCUGUAAUCCCAGCUACUUGGGAGGCUGAGGCACAAAAAUAGCUUGAACCCAGGAGGUAGAGGUUGCAGUGAGCCAAGAUCAUGCCACUGCACUCCAGCCUGGGCAACAGAGCAAGACUCUGUCUCAAAGGGAAAAAAAAUGUCUCAGGACAGAGGUUGCCAAGUGUCCCCUGCGGGCAGAGUCUGUUCCAGGGCAGAAACACUGAUGUAGAAGAGCACCAAGCUUUUGAGGGGCAAGCAGAGCCUGUUGAGACCUGCAGGUCAAGCCCAUGACUGGCCUGAGGCGACUCGUUUCUCACCUGCCUUCAUGUUGUGAUCACCAGAGUCCCUGGCACAGGGAUGAGCUUCAAGGGGAGCUGGGGAGUGGCUGUUUCACCAAAGACAUUGGUGGCAGCAAAUCCUGGGACCAUUGCCCCCCCAUCUGGUUUCGCUCUCAGGUGAUCAGAAAGUGGAACCAGCUUGAACCUGGGAGGUGCUUUGUAGAAACUGAGCAGAGGGUGGGUUUCCUGGCCAGGAGGAGGAGCAUCUAGCUGAAGGCCACAAGGGCUGGAUCGCGGAUGGGCGGCAUGGGGGGAUCCUGGCAUGCAGAGAGCACUCCACGUGGAAGCCAGAAGCCUGGGGCAGAUGGGUGGCCAGGUCGUGAGCCACCUAGGCAGCUCAGCAGAUGUGGAGAUGGCUUUCCCUCUGGGCGUGACGACAGAUGGGCUGUGUGAUUGCAGAGGGGUCUGCCCUUUCAGACCCAUGUCCCUGGCUGCCCUCCCCAUCUUCGUUUACAAGCCCACAGGUCACCCGGGAAGGACCUGCAGCCCAGCCACCUGCGGGGCCCGGUGGCUCGGCCUUCUACCUGUGACCAGAACCCACCUGCGUCUCAUGGGCCUGAUCCAGGCAAAUGUCAGCUCCCCCCAAGGCACCCACAGGACGUGCUUCCACCCAGGCCCGCCACAGUCCAUCUGCCACAGAUGGUAA
rnacentral:lncRNA from 1 species